CUGGGCUGCCAAGCAGAGAUCUUGAACUUAACCACUCGGCCACGGGGCCGGCCCCUAGAUUUGACUUUCUAACUUUCACUUCUUUUAAUCAUGGGCAAGCUGCUUAACUUUGUGAAACUUCAGCUUCUCUCUCUUUCUCUCCCUCUCUCUUUCAAUCUGUGUUUGUGUGUGUAGUGUGUGUCUUCAUUAGGAAGUAUGAAUAAUAUAAUAUAAAUUACAGUGCUUUAAAAAAAUCAUUUUACGAACAGUAAAUAUUUUUUUGAAUCCAUUUUCUCUACCAAGCUUUAUGGAGACACAAAAAUGAGAAUUUCAAAAUCUGUGAAUUCAAGGAAAUCCCUCAUGAGGCCCAGUAGAUGUGAAUACUUCAAUGAGGGAUCUGAUAUUGGCAGAUAUAAAUUACCCAACAGCCUACUUCAGACUAUCAGCUUCUCUGUGCCCACGGUGAUACAGCCCAAGCGAUGGCCUAUUUGCUCAACCCUCUGGCAGAGACUACCUAGAGUCUCUGAGUCCCAAACCAAAUUCUCAGAGAGAAACCUGAUUAGCUCCUCAGUUCAGGUGUCUGUCGCUGGCCCAGUAAACUUUGAACAGGACAGAUGGUCUUACUCAGCCAGCUGCCCUCUCCGUAAAGGCACCUGAAGCAAACUUGAGAAGGAGACAGAGAUAGGGCAGUGGAUCAAUGUUACUUAGAGAAGGGGACACAGGCUGGCACACACUCUAAGAAGAAUCAGUCUGGUGUUAAAGAAUGUGAAUUUGACCCUGUACGGAUACAGGCUUUCAUAAUUAUUCCAAACUUCACGCAGACCUGCAAAGAGAUUGCAGUACCUAUAUCUUCCAUAUGACUUACUGGACCUUCUUAUUCUAUAUGGUGCUUUGUAUCAUUGUCCCCAGUUAUUUGUUGUAUGUAAGUAUUAUGGGAGAGGCAUGUCUCAAACAGUUAAAGUUGUGGCUAUUUGUACAUGGUACUGUCUGGAAUCAAAUAGAUAAAUAACCAAUUAAGUUUUAGAGAGAACUGUAAUAUCAAAAGAGCCACCAACCUGGAUUAUAAAAGACUGUGACUGUUUGAGAUUUAAAACAACUUUGCUGUCCCGAACUUCUAUAGCAGAAAGCAGCCCAACAAAGCUAUGUAGUCCCCCCGAAAGGCACAUUGCUAACGUUGUCUUCAUAUGUGGACAAGGAUGAUCACGAGAAAGAAAGACCCUUUCAGAGAGUGGAGCCAAGACCCCCAUGGGGUAGAUGGUCUAGGGAAAUCCUCCAAGGGAGCAGACAGGGCUUAAUCAAGGAAUAUUUCCUGUGCCUAGGAAGGCCGCUCUUGCGAAGUUUGACUAGCAAAAUUUCAGAGUUGCUGUAGGCCAGUGACUUCUAUAUGUCUCUUAUUCUACGAUGGGAUUAUUUAUUGUGGUUGUCUUGUCCCUUAUUUAACUAUUGUGUAUGUGUGACAAGGGAAGCAGGUAACUUAUUUUAACUUCACAGCCUCUGGAUCAAAAAGACCCCCAUCUGGCCCUGAUAUACAUAAUAUUAUAAAAUCUUGGACAUGGAGCCUUUUGCUAUGAUUGAAUUGGAGUGGAUUCUGAAGUCUCUUUCUUGGAGAGGAGGAGAGUGUAUUUUAUUCAAGGAAGGGCCAGAAACAAAAAUUUGUAACUAGAGGAUAGUCAUAUAGGGUACGUUGUGUAAGGAAAUCAUGGUUCCUAAUUAUUUGCUGUGACUACAUGUAAGAAGAUAAUUUCUCCCCACGUUUGACUAUCAGGCUUGGCCAUGUGACUUGUUUAAGUUAGUGAAGUGAGAGUGGGAUCCACAUAAUUCACUGCUGUAUAGAAGCUUUAAAUAGUAUCUCAUGGAUCUACCAUUGCUCCUUUUUCUCUGGCACAAAGCUGAAUGUCCCGGAUAGAAGCUUCUUCUUCAUGUCCUGAAAUGAAGACACCGUGGAACAUAACCAUUGUCAAUCUGCACAGGAUAAGUAGUGAGAAACAAACAUUAGUUGCCGUAAGCUAUUAGGAUUUGGGAAUUUUUGUUAUUACAGCAUAAAAAUUGAUAGGUGCAACCUGGCAUAUGAAGUAGUUUAUAAAAUAGUUUAUAAAUGUGAAGUCUUUUUUAAAUUUUCCACUUGAAAGAGUGCUAAAGAUCUAAAACUUCUUAGAGGUAAAGUAAUAAAGUCACUAAAUAUUUUUCUAUUUCUUCCUCUUUUCUUCUUUGUUGCUUUCUUUUUCCCUCCCUCCCUCCUUUCCUUCCUUCCUUUUUUCGAGCAUUGGUACCAGUUUUUUAAACAAUCUCAUUAAGAAGAUCUCUAUAUAAAUAUCUGACAGUUGAACUGCUCUGGAAGGAGAGAAGGAGAUUGGGGCAGUGAGGGCUCAACAUUUCUCCCUUACCUCCUCACAGACCCCUCCCCGCACUCGAUAUGCUUGAGGUACAACUUUUAAGUCCCUUCAGGGUAGAGUGUAAAAGGGGUUUAAGGUCCAAAGAAGGAAAGUAACGUGCACACAGCCGCACAAAUUUUUUGUGAGCCAGGUGGGAGGCCGUGAAGUGUACUGGACUUGGGAAUAAGACAGACAUUGGUUUGAAUCUCUGCUCUGCUAUGGAUUAAAUGUGACCUUGGGCUACCCCCCUUGACAUUUCCAAGUGUCUGUUUUUUCAUCUGUAAAAUGGGGACAAUAAAACCUGCCUCAUAACAGCUGUGGAGAAGAUUCAGGGCAGCAGUGUGUUUGCAUGAAAAAUAUUAUUAUUAUUUGCUCCUUGUGCUUGAUGCUGUUUCCUUUCCAACACACAGUGCUUCACUAGAAUUGUGUAAAUUUUUAUCAGAAAAAAUAUGUUUGAAAUGGCUUGUUGCUCAUCUUUAUUUCAUAGAGUGGACACUGGCUUGUCCAUGGUCACAUUGCUAGAACUAGAAUGUGAGUCUUCUGUUCUCCAUAGGUAUCAAACUGCUGUUGAGUCUCUAAAGAUCUCUGGGUUUAGAGAUGCAUGAAGCCUCAUUGUAGUUUCUGAAAGCUCCUCCUUAUGUUCGAGUGAGCAACUGGUGGGUUUCAUUUUUCUUCAUUCCUGGACUGAAAUGUUUCCAGUUAGCCCAGAAGAACCCAACAAAGCAUAUCAGAAACUGAGAAACUAUACUUUUGGGUUUAAUCUGGAGUUGAUUCUGAAGAACUAUAAAAUGCUAGCGUGAAAGAGCUAUUUCCCCAUUUCCCUGAACACUUUUUCUGCCUGAAUGACAGACAGUUGGUGCUGUAAAAUGAGGGGAUUGAGACCACCCACUUAAAGAAUAGCCACCACAUUUCUUCUCUGGGAGAAGAGAAACGGAUACGACUUUAACAUCAAAGAUUCUUCUAGAAGAUGCAAGAAGGCCUGAGGAAGAAACCUGUCAAGCAAUGCAGCUCUGCUUGUCAGUUUUAUUAAAAGGGUGCCUGACUUGCAUGACUCAGACUCCGGGUGUGUCUCUGAACUGCAAGUAACAGCAAGAUUUUACUUCCAAGGCAGGAAGCAACAGCAUUUGGGUGUGACCAAUUAGGCAUUACUUUGGCAUUUCCCAACUUGCCAUUUUGGUAAAGCCCUUUGGGGCUGAGAAGUUUACUCAGAAUAAAACCACUUAAGUCACAAAUUCUUUAGGGGAUGCAGGCUCUGCCUGCUAGGUCUUAGGAUUUUUCUCUCUACAAGACAGCGCAAAGCCCAGAAAGCCAUGGAAGCACUGGGCUAAAGACUCUCUUGAAGACCUUCUAUGUCCAAGUUUGUUUGUUCAUGUAAAGAAGAAGAUAUCUACGUCUUUUCUUCUAGUUUCAUUUCGGCCCAUUGUAAUACUGAAAUGGGACUGAGAAUCUGGAAUGGAGAUACAUGCUCAAUUGAUUCUUUUGUUCCACUUUGUAGGCUGGCUGGGUUCCUGACAACUGGUCGGUGAUUCUCCCCUAGAACGAGACGCCUUCCUGGCACUCCUGGGAUAGGGUGGUGUGUGUGCACCUCUGGCUCUUAGAGCAAAGAGAUGACCCUGGGCAUGGGGGUAAGAUGGCACAGGGAGAUACAGGGUGGGGUGCCCAGGCUAAUUUAGGUCAGGCAACUGAACUGGGAGAGUGGCAUGAUGUUCCUCUUUUCUGAGGCCUUGCUGGCAUCUCUAGUGACAAAUGGCUUCCCUGAGUUUAGCUGUUAUCACACCUUUGUCCUCAAUGAGUAAGGAGAGUUUGUUUAGAGUUCCAAGCUAUGGCAAAGAGAUGUGAAUGGACAGCUCAAAGGAAGUAACUGUUGCCAAGUUCUGCAUUACGAGCAGGUAUCAGUGCUUCCAGAGAAAGCCUAAUGAUAAGUUUGGAGGAAUUUCAGUACUCUUUUGUUUAGCUCUGCUAUUUAAUAACUCAGUAAGGCUUUGUCUUCUCUUUGGGAAAAAAUGGAAAAUAUUCAUACCUCAUUACUGAUUCUAUCUGAUAGACAGUGGAUGUUUAAUAAUUAUUAGUUCCCUUCACACUCCUUAAAUGAUUGAAAUGAUCAUCGAAGACUCAGCUUAGCAGAUUUUAGAAGGUAACCCAUAAUCGUUUAUUUUUAGAUUGCCUUUCUCUUUUUAUUGUCUUUGUCUUUUUUUGCUUUGGCAUUAUUUUAUAAUAUACUUAUAAUCUACUUUAUAUGCUUUAGAAAUAUUCUUUCAUAUAGCAUAAUUUGCUGUUAUAAUAUUCUACAGUUCCACUGUCCAGCAGUUCUAGUCUGAGCGCAUUGAUACCCACAGUCCAGAGGAUGUGAACAUUCUGGCUCCUUUACCUGGAGGUCUGUCUGUGUUGUAUCAAAUGCUGCAGGGCUGUGGGGCUGAGGCAGCUGCAGAGUUAGCGUGCUAGACGACAUAGUGGAAGAUGAUAGGGAUUGUGAGCCAUGUGGUAUUGCCCACAGCCCAGAGUUUCACUGAAACUGAGUUUCUCAGCAUGGGGACUUCAGAACAACAACAGAAGCCCUUAUGCUUAUUUCUUUUAAAUAUCAGUUCCAUGGACAUGUUAAAUUAAAAUAGUCUACUUGGAUGAAUCCUGGGAAUCUGAUUUUUUUUCUUUGUAACAACUAAUGGGAUUCUUGUGAAUAAAGUUUGAUAAAGAGUACCUACAUCAUAUUGACAUAAGAAAUGAAGAUCUAUUUGUUAAUUUUCUAAAUUACUGGGUUGCCUGCCAUUGGCUAACAGAAUAGUGUAGUACUGGAAUCUCCAAGUAAAGGGGGGUUAUGCCAGAGAAGGAAUAAGAAUUCCAACUGGUAAACAGAUACAUUUCCCUUGCAUUUCAAAUUUGUUCAAGGAUUUUGGAAAAAAGUAAAAGAAUUUACGAUGGCAUUUUAUAUUUUUAAAAAUGAACAUAUUAUGGAGCAGAAUAUAUGAUUCACAUAAUUUAAAUAAAAAUGACUUCAAAGAAAUAUGAAGCUAGUGGCAAGCUUUUUGAGACCUCUCCCCAGACAUCCUGGGGUAGUCACUCACCCUCCCCUCCUUAGGGACACUUUGCAGGCAAUGAGCAAAAUCCACUGUUGUGGGGGGUUAGGACGACAGCAUCAGGAGAAAUCUCAGCAACUGAUCUUUUGAAAUAUACAGUAAAAUUUGUAUUUGUGGAAACACUCAGUUUUUCUAUAUCCCUCAUUUUUUUAGAAAAGCAAAUAUUAGUUACCUAAAUCAAUAACAGACUUUUUUCAAUUUAGAGUAUGACUGGGAGACGCUGAGAGUCAAUCCAGUAUCAUCUGCCUUCUAUACCUAUAGCAUUUCCCAAAGGUAACUGAGCCUCCUGCAGAUGACUCUGAAGAUGUGCAAAGUUCUCAGUUAUUUUAUUUUAUUUUUGUGUGUGAGGAAGAUU